rnacentral:rRNA from 1 species
UACGGAGGGUGCGAGCGUUGUCCGGAAUCACUGGGCGUAAAGGGCGCGUAGGCGGCCUGGCAAGUCGAUGGUGAAAGCCCGAGGCUCAACUUCGGGUCGGCCACUGAUACUGCUAGGCUUGAGUCGACUAGAGGCAGAUGGAAUUCCGGGUGUAGCGGUGGAAUGCGUAGAGAUCUGGAGGAACACCCGUGGCGAAGGCGGCGCCCUGGUCCGUUUCUGACGCUGAGACGCGAAAGCGCGGG